GUGGCUUCUAUCUAUUCAUAUACCUUUUCUAUUUCGUCUAAUGAAUGUCCAUUGGAUUUAAAAAGUUUUAACAAAAUCAAUUCUUUUUUAUAACUCAGUAUUUACUCUGGAAAAAUACCUGUACCAGCUUACAAAUAUGACGGUUAUAUAUUUUUUGUUCUGUUUUUUAGAAAAAAAAGUCUGACGUUUGAAAUGUUAGUUGUCAUGGACGUCAUCCUAAAUUGAAUUUAAAUAGGAGUUCGUCAAAUUUGUCAUACUCGUUUUUUUUUUAACUUGUGUUGAGUAAAAUAGUUUGUGCUCAAUUAUAAAUGAACACUCAUAUAAAUAAAUAUAUAUAUAUCGCAAGUUCACAAGGGAGUGACAUAAACUUUAUCCAUAUAAACAUUUAUCAUAACAGCCUAAUCAUUAUGGUUUCAUUGAAUAAACUAAAAUUUGAAAACUUAACGAAAUUGCUAUUGUUUAAACCUUUUACAGGUUAACAUACGUACUUCAGUUUUAAAUGAAGUCUUGUGUAGGCUGUUUUUUCAUAGUUUUCACUUUUGGUUACCGUUGGUAUAUUAUGCCUCUUUCUUGUUAUUGAAUCUUAACAUAGAUAGGUAGUUUAUUCAUAUGGGUUGGGUUGGGAGACAAGGGUACGAACUAAUGUCAAACUCUAGACCACCUGCGUGUAUCUAGUACAUACGUUUUAAUAGCCUUUGAUGACUAUUUACACCACUGGGUCGAUGCCACUGCUGGUUGACGUUUCGUCCCCGAGGGUAUCACCAGCCCAGUA
rnacentral:lncRNA from 1 species